rnacentral:rRNA from 1 species
UGCAAGUCGAACGCAGUAGCAAUACUGAGUGGCAGACGGGUGAGUAACAUGUGGGAAUCUGCCUUGUGGUUCAGGACAACAUUGGGAAACCGAUGCUAAUACUGGAUAAGCCCUUACGGGGAAAGUUUUAAUGCCAUAAGAUGAGCCCGCAUUUGAUUAGUUAGUUGGUGAGGUAAUGGCUCACCAAGACAAUGAUCAAUAGCUGAUCUGAGAGGAUGAUCAGCCACACUGGGACUGAGACACGGCCCAGACUCCUACGGGAGGCAGCAGUGGGGAAUCUUGCACAAUGGAGGAAACUCUGAUGCAGCGAUGCCGCGUGAGUGAAGAAGGCCUUUGGGUUGUAAAGCUCUUUUGUAGGGGAAGAUAAUGACUGUACCCUAAGAAUAAGGUCCGGCUAACUUCGUGCCAGCAGCCGCGGUAAUACGAAGGGACCUAGCGUAGUUCGGAAUUACUGGGCGUAAAGCGCGCGUAGGCCGUUGAGUUAGUUAAUUGUGAAAUCCCAAAGCUUAACUUUGGAACUGCAAUUAAAACUGCUCGACUAGAGUUUGAUAGAGGAAAGCGGAAUACAUAGUGUAGAGGUGAAAUUCGUAGAUAUUAUGUAGAACACCAGUUGCGAAGGCGGCUUUCUGGAUCAACACUGACGCUGAGGCGCGAAAGUAUGGGUAGCAAAGAGGAUUAGAUACCCUCGUAGUCCAUACCAUAAACGAUGAUUGCUAGAUGUUGGAAAUUUAUUUUCAGUAUCGCAGCUAACGCAUUAGCAAUCCGCCUGGGGAGUACGACCGCCAAGGUUAAAACUCAAAUGAAUUGACGG